rnacentral:rRNA from 1 species
GUGGGGGAUCUUCCACAAUGGACGAAAGUCUGAUGGAGCAACGCCGCGUGAGUGAAGAAGGUUUUCGGAUCGUAAAGCUCUGUUGUUGGUGAAGAAGGAUAGAGGCAGUAACUGGUCUUUAUUUGACGGUAAUCAACCAGAAAGUCACGGCUAACUACGUGCCAG